CUUUGACCACAACUCAUCCUCUCUUUUACAACAGGGCUGCUAAUAGUUCAGCCUCCAUUUGAAGAAGUCUUUCACCUCUCUAGACCCAGAUACUGUUCUAGUUCCGCCUACUCAGGGAGUGUCACCAAGUCCUGUCACCUGACCCACCCCUACCCAAUGGUCUCCUAAUGUUUUCAACUCACUGCCUUGGCUUUCUAUACUUUAUUUUUACUUUCACUUUAUGUAGAACACAGAAUCUACCCCAACUCGAGCAGACCUCCCCUAGGUGUCAAGAGGACCAGCACCAUCAGGAGGGUGACAUCUUGACUUGCAAGUGAAUUGGAGUUCAGUGACACAGGGCUCUGCAAAGUCAUCAGCCUCAUUCUCUCCUCCAGAGUCGUCAGAGUCCAGUGGCCAGACAUAGGUCAGGACAACUGGCAAUGGCCCUACCUUCUUGACAAAUUUAGCCACCAAAGAAGAGAAGAGAUAGCCAGGAUGGAUGGUCAAGUGAGGGGUUUUGAGGGAUGGGUGUUUGUAAUCAAUAAAGAAAGAGCCAGUAGACA
rnacentral:lncRNA from 1 species